rnacentral:rRNA from 1 species
AAUGAACGCUGGCGGCGUGCCUAACACAUGCAAGUCGAACGAGAAAGUCCGUAAGGAUGAGUACAGUGGCGUCCGGGUGAGUAACACGUGGAAAUCUGCCCUUUGGUGAAGAAUACCCUCGAGAAAUCGAGGCUAAUACUGCAUAAGCCGGAAACGGGAAAGGUGGCCUCUUUGCUACCGCCGAAGGAUGAGUCUGCGGCCUAUUAGCUAGUUGGUAGGGUAAUGGCCUACCAAGGCGAAGAUGGGUAGCCGGCCUGAGAGGGUGUACGGCCACAAUGGAACUGACACACGGUCCAUACUCCUACGGGUGGCUG